AGCGAACGUUUGCGGCGGGCUUAACACAUGCAAGUCGAACGGGCUGUUCCUUCGGGGGCAGUCAGUGGCGCACGGGUGCGUAACACGUAGGUAAUCAACCCUCUGGUUGGGGAUAACACUUCGAAAGGAGUGCUAAUACCCGGUAUGGCGCAGCGGUCUUCGGAUCGCGGCGAGAAAGACCCGCAAGGGUUGCCAGAGGACGAGCCUGCGGCCCAUCAGCUAGUUGGCGAGGUAACGGCUCACCAAGGCGAAGACGGGUAGCUGGUCUGAGAGGAUGAUCAGCCACACUGGAACUGAGACACGGUCCAGACUCCUACGGGAGGCAGCAGUGGGGAAUAUUGCGCAAUGGGCGAAAGCCUGACGCAGCCACGCCGCGUGAGCGAUGAAGGCCUUCGGGUC
rnacentral:rRNA from 1 species